UGGCGAGUGCUGCGAUGAAGAGGACGAGGAUGGCUUUAUUCCAUACGAGCCCUUCUGCAAAAGGCUGAUAGCUGGACCUUUCCCGGACGCGAAGUAGAUUCGCAAGUUCUCAACAUUCACGCACGAGAGGUAAACGAAACAACAUCUCGACCCAUCUUUCACUGGGAGGCCACCUCCCCACCGCCCUGCCACCUGGCGGUGCCACCACUCAGCAGCUGUGUACAGUCUCCGGCACGUGACCCGACGCAGGGCGCGCGUGCCCGCCGGCCGUUGGCGCCGCCCGGAUCGGCCUGGGUGCGGCGCCCACCGGCCGGCCGGCCGCCGCCGCGCACUCCUUCCAAGGACGUUUUUAUAAGCUCUGUCUGCUCGAACCCAUACAUAUGUAUAUUUCACUUGUGAUGUGUGUAUACUGGCGCGAUGCGCGUGUGCGUGUGGCGUGCAGCUGUCCGCAGCCCACUGGCG